GAUGAACGCUGGCGGCGUGCCUAAUACAUGCAAGUCGAGCGAACAGACGAGGAGCUUGCUCCUCUGACGUUAGCGGCGGACGGGUGAGUAACACGUGGAUAACCUACCUAUAAGACUGGGAUAACUUCGGGAAACCGGAGCUAAUACCGGAUAAUAUAUUGAACCGCAUGGUUCAAUAGUGAAAGACGGUUUUGCUGUCACUUAUAGAUGGAUCCGCGCCGCAUUAGCUAGUUGGUAAGGUAACGGCUUACCAAGGCAACGAUGCGUAGCCGACCUGAGAGGGUGAUCGACCACACUGUAACUGAGACACGGUCCAGACUCCUACGGGAGGCAGCAGUAGGGAAUCUUCCGCAAUGGGCGAAAGCCUGACGUAGCAACGCCGCGUGAGUGAUGAAGGUCUUCGGAUCGUAAAACUCUGUUAUUAGGGAAGAACAAAUGUGUAAGUAACUAUGCACGUCUUGACGGUACCUAAUCAGAAAGCCACGGCUAACUACGUG
rnacentral:rRNA from 1 species